GACGAACGCUGGCGGCGUGCCUAACACAUGCAAGUCGAGCGGGAUCCAUCCGGUAGCAAUACUGGUGAAGAUCUAGCGGCGAACGGGUGAGUAACACGUGAGAAACCUGCCCCAGACACUGGGAUAACACGAGGAAACUCGUGCUAAUACCGGAUACCUUCUUUUGGUCGCAUGGCCCGCUGAAGACAGAUUUAUCGGUUUGGGAGGGUCUCGCGGCCUAGCAGCUAGUUGGCGGGGUAACGGCCCACCAAGGCAUCGACGGGUAGCUGGUCUGAGAGGACGAUCAGCCACACUGGGACUGAGACACGGCCCAGACUCCUACGGGAGGCAGCAGUGGGGAAUCUUGCGCAAUGGGCGAAAGCCUGACGCAGCAACGCCGCGUGCGGGAUGAAGGCCUUCGGGUUGUAAACCGCUUACAGCAGGGAAGAAACUGACGGUACCUGCAGAAGAAGCCCCGGCCAACUACGUGCCAGCAGCCGCGGUAA
rnacentral:rRNA from 1 species